AGUACAAAUUUUUAUACAAUUCUUGUCAUGCAUAAUUACUGGCGUACAGUAAAAUAUUAGUUUUUUAUCAUUUGAAUACAGCGGUGAAUAGCCUCUUUUUUGAUCUUUACACCGCGACAUUAAGAUAGCGAAAAAAAACAGCAAACAAAAAUUCGUGUCAAGGGAUCUUAUCUACGAAGACUGGUACUCGUUGGUGCACGGACCAGAAGCGUUAUCGGCACACGCGCACGUUCGUCCACCCUGACCAUCCGGAAGACAGAGUUGGUCCUCAUUACAUCUGCCAAACUCGUAUUGGCACACUUUUUACCCUCAGGACAGAAUUCGGGGACUGCUACAAUCCCGAAAAGUUUAUCGCUUCCACCGAGAGGAAUUUCUAGAGGCUUAUUCCUCUCGCCAGAAUUUUUCGACGCGAUUUCAAUUUUUUGCCUGAACAAUGUAAUGUUAUUGUAUAUUCAAUUAGUUACAGGAUUCAAUCGAACUCUAUAUCACUCACGUGUUCCAAUCUGUCCAGUAAUAAUGAUUUUGUGAUAUCGCUAAGCCAA
rnacentral:misc_RNA from 1 species